rnacentral:lncRNA from 1 species
UUUACACCAGAAUAUCCCUUUAAUUCAGUGAUUUAAUUAUUUUGCUCUUGGUUAAUAUUCAGACCUUUAAACUCAGAGACUCUGCUCUCUUUAUGUUUCAUCGACUGUGUUUCUUUACUUGUUUAUUAGAAAUUCGCUGAUGUUAGAUUGAAGCUGUCACCGUUAAAUUUUUGAUCGUCGUCUAAAACAAAAAUAAAAUCUUUAUUUUUUCAGGUUAAAUUUUGAGCUGUUUAUGUCAGGACAGUGUGUGAGCCACGGUCUUGAAACAGCGAUCCUGUAAAGUCUCUGAAGCCCCUCUCUCUGGUCUGUUUGAAGCUCCUGCUCUUAUAUAAGAAGGUCUGAUAGUCUCCAUGUUUCCUCCAGCUGUAAACACACAGACUGAAGAGAGGAGCAGAGCUGCAGGAUCCUGUUCAUUCAGGAUCAGCUUCGUCCUCUGAGGACAGAUUUCCUGAAGGAUUUGAGUCUUUCGGCAGAAACCGCUGCAGGGGAAACUUGAGCAUUCAUGAGGGAUAAUAUAUGAACCAUGAGCUUUACAUUUAGAGUCAGACCUGUCAAUCAAAGAGGAGAAUAUGUUACACAACAGGUAUGAAAGACAGCAUCUGUACCACAGCACAAAACUGAGUGAUUUUAAAGUAACAUGCAGGUUUUUUAGUCACUAAUGAAGCUGACAAGAUUAAAACAUGCUGUCAUUAAAUCUGAGGAUACAGUCAGUUAAUCACAUAAAUAAACGAUGUCAGAUAAUCUGAUUAUUAUCAGUUUAAGAGUUUAAAAAAGAUCAAAAUUAUGUCCGUGAUGGAGAAACUAAAGUCUGAGUUUUUCUUGGUGACCUGCAGAUGUUCUUCAGCCUGAAGGUGUUUUAAAGAGCGAACAGGUGAGCUGGAGUUCAUGUGUGUUUGAUAACCUGAACUUUUCUAAAACCACCUGAUGGAUAAAAAUCUGUGUGAUGACGACCAAAAACAUCAGAACGACCCCGACUCUUCUUUAAGGUUAUACAGAAGCAUACAGUAGGACACUGUAGGUUACAGUAAACUACUGUAGGUUAAUGUAGAAAACAGCAAAAUAGUGUAGGUUAUUGUAGAAUACAUUGGAUACUUAGAAUAUUGUUGGUUAUUGUAGGACACCUAGGAUGCAGUAAACUACUGUAGGUUACUGUAGGACAUUUAGAAUACAUUAAAAUAGUGUAGGUUACUUUAGGACACUAAAGAUACAGUGACCUACUGUCGAUACUGUAGGACACUUAGAACACAGUAAUAUAGUGUAGGAUACUGUUAGAUACUGUUGGUUACUGUAGGACACCUACGAUACAAGAAGAUACUGUAGACUAUGUGGAAUACAAUAGGAAAUGUAGGAUACUGUAGGUUACUGUAGGAUAUGUAGGGUACUGUAGAAUACAGUAAGAUACUGUAGGAUAUGUAGGUUAAUGUAGGUUACUGAAGGACACUAAGAACACAGUAAAAUAGUGUAGGAUACUGUUAGAUACUGUUGGUUACUGUAGGACACCUAGGAUACAAGAAGAUACUGUAGACUAUGUAGAAUACUAUUAGUUACUGUAGGAUAUGUAGGAUACAGUUAGAUGCUGUAGGUCACUGAAGGGUACUGUUGAAUACAGUAAGAUACUGUAGGAUAUGUUGUAUACUGAAGGAUACUGUUGUAUAUGUAGGAUACUGUAGGUUACUGUAGGAUAUUAUUAAAUACAGUUAAAUACUGUAAGUUACAGUAGGUUAUUGUAGGAUACUUGGGAUACAGUAAACUACUGUAGGUUACUGUAGGAUACAGUCAGAUACUUCAGCAUAAGUAGGAUACCAUAGGAUAUGUAGGUUACUGUAGGAUACUGUAAAAUACAGUGAGAUACUGCAGUAGGAUACUAACAGUCACUGAUGGAUACUGUAGGAUAUGUAGGUUACUGUAGGAUACUGUAAAAUACUGUGAGAUACUGCAGUAGGAUACUAACAGUCACUGAUGGAUACUGUAGGAUAUGUAGGUUACUGUAGGUUACUGUAGGAUACUGUAGGUUUCUUUAGGAUACAGUUAGAUACUGUAGGAUUUGUAGGUUACUGUAGGUUAUUGUAGGAUAUGUAGGUUACUGUAGGUUAUUGUAGGAUACACCAUUAUCAUGCUGCCUAAAUCAGUUUUUGCUGUUGCUGUGACUUUAGUCAUUCUGGUCUCUCUCU